GAUGAACGCUGGCGGCGUGCCUAAUACAUGCAAGUCGAGCGAACGGACGAGAAGCUUGCUUCUCUGAUGUUAGCGGCGGACGGGUGAGUAACACGUGGAUAACCUACCUAUAAGACUGGGAUAACUUCGGGAAACCGGAGCUAAUACCGGAUAAUAUUUUGAACCGCAUGGUUCAAAAGUGAAAGACGGUCUUGCUGUCACUUAUAGAUGGAUCCGCGCUGCAUUAGCUAGUUGGUAAGGUAACGGCUUACCAAGGCAACGAUGCAUAGCCGACCUGAGAGGGUGAUCGGCCACACUGGAACUGAGACACGGUCCAGACUCCUACGGGAGGCAGCAGUAGGGAAUCUUCCGCAAUGGGCGAGAGCCUGACGGAGCAACGCCGCGUGAGUGAUGAAGGUCUUCGGAUCGUAAAACUCUGUUAUUAGGGAAGAACAUAUGUGUAAGUAACUGUGCACAUCUUGACGGUACCUAAUCAGAAAGCCACGGCUAGCUACGUGCCAGCAGCCGCGGUAAUACGUAGGUGGCAAGCGUUAUCCGGAAUUAUUGGGCGUAAAGCGCGUGUAGGCGGUUUUUUAAGUCUGAUGUGAAAGCCCACGGCUCAACCGUGGAGGGUCAUUGGAAACUGGAAAACUUGAGUGCAGAAGAGGAAAGUGGAAUUCCAUGUGUAGCGGUGAAAUGCGCAGAGAUAUGGAGGAACACCAGUGGCGAAGGCGACUUUCUGGUCUGUAACUGACGCUGAUGUGCGAAAGCGUGGGGAUCAAACAGGAUUAGAUACCCUGGUAGUCCACGCCGUAAACGAUGAGUGCUAAGUGUUAGGGGGUUUCCGCCCCUUAGUGCUGCAGCUAACGCAUUAAGCACUCCGCCUGGGGAGUACGACCGCAAGGUUGAAACUCAAAGGAAUUGACGGGGACCCGCACAAGCGGUGGAGCAUGUGGUUUAAUUCGAAGCAACGCGAAGAACCUUACCAAAUCUUGACAUCCUUUGACAACUCUAGAGAUAGAGCUUUCCCCUUCGGGGGACAAAGUGACAGGUGGUGCAUGGUUGUCGUCAGCUCGUGUCGUGAGAUGUUGGGUUAAGUCCCGCAACGAGCGCAACCCUUAAGCUUAGUUGCCAUCAUUAAGUUGGGCACUCUAAGUUGACUGCCGGUGACAAACCGGAGGAAGGUGGGGAUGACGUCAAAUCAUCAUGCCCCUUAUGAUUUGGGCUACACACGUGCUACAAUGGACAAUACAAAGGGCAGCGAAACCGCGAGGUCAAGCAAAUCCCAUAAAGUUGUUCUCAGUUCGGAUUGUAGUCUGCAACUCGACUACAUGAAGCUGGAAUCGCUAGUAAUCGUAGAUCAGCAUGCUACGGUGAAUACGUUCCCGGGUCU
rnacentral:rRNA from 1 species